rnacentral:rRNA from 1 species
UACAGAGGUCUCAAGCGUUGUUCGGAUUCAUUGGGCGUAAAGGGUGCGUAGGCGGCGUGGUAAGUCGGGAGUGAAAGCCCGGGGCUCAACCCCGGAAUGGCUUUCGAAACUGCUGAGCUAGAGUACAGAAGGGGCAACCGGAAUUCCCAGUGUAGCGGUGAAAUGCGUAGAUAUUGGGAAGAACACCUGAGGCGAAGGCGGGUUGCUGGGCUGAUACUGACGCUGAGGCGCGAAAGCCAGGGGAGCAAACGGG